UAAACGACUCUCGGCAACGGAUAUCUCGGCUCUCGCAUCGAUGAAGAACGUAGCGAAAUGCGAUACUUGGUGUGAAUUGCAGAAUCCCGCGAACCAUCGAGUCUUUGAACGCAAGUUGCGCCCGAAGCCAUUAGGUUGAGGGCACGUCUGCCUGGGCAUCUCAC
rnacentral:rRNA from 1 species